rnacentral:rRNA from 1 species
UUGCAGCAAACCCACGUUUGAGGCGAACCAACACGUUGUCCCCCCCCUUCCGGUGGCCUCGGCCGCGGCGGCUAAACCCCGUCGCGUCCGUCGUCGCCGCGUCGGAAUACCAAUGAUACCGAAUCACUUCGACCAAAUGACUUAGUCCCAUUUUGGACCCCUUAACUUCUAGUUAGGGGGCGAGAUGAACAUAAGGUUGUGAACACAACUCUCAGCAACGGAUAUCUUGGCUCCUGCAACGAUGAAGAACGCAGCGAAAUGCGAUACCUAGUGUGAAUUGCAGAAUUCCGCGAAUCAUUGAGUCUUUGAACGCAAGUUGCGCCCGAGGCUCGACCGAGGGCAUUUCCGUUAGAGCGUCACCGCGCGCCCCCACCGAGCUCCCCAACCAAGGGAGGAGGAGUUCGAGUGCAAUUGGCCGUCCCGAUUUGUUACCCUUUGUUGUGGAAUCGGAAUCGGGUCGGCCGAAGUACCUUGGCAGACUCCGUGGCGACACGGCCCACGAUCGGGUGAUCCGAGCCCUUCUAAAGGGGCUCGGAAUUUUUCUAAGUGUGCGGCCGCGCCGCCCCGUGUGUCCCGAAGGAGAGUGUUACAUUGAAGUGAGCAGUGGAACCAGAGUGUUACCAGAGUUACGCACCAGACC